AUUGAACGCUGGCGGCAGGCUUAACACAAGCAAGUCGAGCGGAGAUGAGGUGCUUGCACCUUAUCUUAGCGGCGGACGGGUGAGUAAUGCUUAGGAAUCUGCCUAUUAGUGGGGGACAACAUUCCGAAAGGAAUGCUAAUACCGCAUACGCCCUACGGGGGAAAGCAGGGGAUCUUCGGACCUUGCGCUAAUAGAUGAGCCUAAGUCGGAUUAGCUAGUUGGUGGGGUAAAGGCCUACCAAGGCGACGAGCUGUAGCGGGUCUGAGAGGAUGACCCGCCACACUGGGACGGAGACACGUCCCAGACUCCUACGGGAGGCAGCAGUGGGGAAUAUUGGACAAUGGGCGGAAGCCUGAUCCAGCCAUGCCGCGUGUGUGAAGAAGGCCUUUUGGUUGUAAAGCACUUUAAGCGAGGAGGAGGCUACCUGGAUUAAUACUCUAGGAUAGUGGACGUUACUCGCAGAAUAAGCACCGGCUAACUCUGUGCCAGCAGCCGCAGUAACAC
rnacentral:rRNA from 1 species